GGGUGGGCACUCGAGGCCUGCUUAAGAUAUAGUCGGGCCCCUGGAGAAACCCAGGGGGUGAGAGAACCAAACCGUUCCGUAGGUGAACCUGCGGAAGGAUCAUU
rnacentral:rRNA from 1 species